rnacentral:tRNA from 1 species
GUAAACGCCAGGAGAUUGCGCUAGGAGCCUUCUAAGCUCUUGGUCAGGGGUUCGAUUCCUCUCGGGCGCGCCA